rnacentral:rRNA from 1 species
AUGUCAGCGGCGCCGCCGCGCCGCCACGCCUCGCCGCCGGGCGAGGUCCGCCUCCGCCUCCCGCCCGAUGGUCUAGUACGCCUCCUCCGCGCCUCCAUGGCCCGCAAGACCUGGAGCCACAAGCGUCUCUCACGGGGGAUUCCGACGCCGCCUCCACGAGCUCCACCCGGGCCGGCACCCCCCGCGCUCGGGUUCCUCCACAACCGGGCCGACGAGCGCAGCCCCUGCUUCAUCCCCACCGCCCUCGUCCUUCUCCCUCGGCUGCCGCCACGGCCGCGCACCCCUUCCCCUCCAAGGACGGGUGCGACCACCUCGUCCUCGACUGCCUCGCGGGCCCUUUCCGCGUGGUCUUCCUCUUCGCCGUCGAGGAAGGCACCGACAACGACGCGUACGCUCGUCCAAUACUGGCGGCCGGAGCGAGCUGACCUCGAUGCGCUCCCAAGGCGAGUUCUCCAUGGAAUUCACACAACAUCCCAGCGUUCUCGUUGGCAGGUCUCUGCUCUUCUCCAUGUCCACGGGGACAGUGCGUCGAUCGUGGAGCAUGACCUGGCAAGCCGCGACCUGACUCUGCUCGGCCAACCAGACAAGUACUACAAGCACACAGAUGCUGUCAAGGAUGGGGAUUUUGUUAACGCCUUUGAAUGCGUCAACCACAACCUCAAGAUCAGGGCUCCUUGUUAUGGAGAAGGUGCUCUCGAGGGUGCUAGCACACUCAACAAACAUGGAUGUGCCUUGCUACCCAAAGAUUCUCCUAGUGAUGUUCCUAAGGGGCACCAAAUGAAGAAUCGGCGAAGGGUACAACCAGCAAAGAUGAUGCCGGGAACCUGA